rnacentral:rRNA from 1 species
CAGGAUGAACGCUGGCGGCGUGCCUAAUACAUGCAAGUCGUGCGGAAAGGCCACGUUCGGUGGUACUCGAGCGGCGGACGGCAGAGUAACGCGUAGGAACAUACCCCAAACUGAGGGAUAACUGCUCGAAAGAGUAGCUAAUACCGCAUGUGAUCUUCGGAUUAAAGCUUCGGCGGUUUGGGAAUGGCCUGCGUCCGAUUAGCUUGUUGGUGAGGUAAUAGCUCACCAAGGCGACGAUCGGUAGCUGGUCUGAGAGGAUGAUCAGCCUGACUGGAACUGAGAACGGUCCAGACUCCUACGGGAGGCAGCAGUAGGGAAUUUUCCACAAUGGGCGAAAGCCUGAUGGAGCAACGCCGCGUGCAGGAUGAAUGCCUUCGGGUUGUAAACUGUCUUUAUUAGUGAAGAAUAUGACGGUAACUAAUGAAUAAGGGUCGGCUAACUACGUG